CCUACGGCGGGCAGCAGUGGGGAAUAUUGCGCAAUGGGGGCAACCCUGACGCAGCCAUGCCGCGUGAAUGAAGAAGGCCUUCGGGUUGUAAAGUUCUUUCGGUAGCGAGGAAGGCAUUUAGUUUAAUAGACUAGGUGAUUGACGUUAACUACAGAAGAAGCACCGGCUAACUCCGUGCCAGCAGCCGCGGUAAUACGGAGGGUGCGAGCGUUAAUCGGAAUAACUGGGCGUAAAGGGCACGCAGGCGGUGACUUAAGUGAGGUGUGAAAGCCCCGGGCUUAACCUGGGAAUUGCAUUUCAUACUGGGUCGCUAGAGUACUUUAGGGAGGGGUAGAAUUCCACGUGUAGCGGUGAAAUGCGUAUAGAUGUGGAGGAAUACCGAAGGCUAAGGCAGCCCCUUGGGAAUGUACUGACGCUCAUGUGCGAAAGCGUGGGUAGCAAACAGGAUUAGAUACCCUUGUAGUC
rnacentral:rRNA from 1 species